rnacentral:rRNA from 1 species
CCUACGGGAGGCUGCAGUGGGGAAUAUUGGACAAUGGGGGCAACCCUGAUCCAGCCAUGCCGCGUGUGUGAAGAAGGCCCUCGGGUUGUAAAGCACUUUCAGUGGGGAAGAACGCCUGGUGGUUAAUACCCAUCAGGAAAGACAUCACUCACAGAAGAAGCACCGGCUAACUCCGUGCCAGCAGCCGCGGUAAUACGGAGGGUGCGAGCGUUAAUCGGAAUUACUGGGCGUAAAGCGCGCGUAGGUGGCUUGAUAAGCCGGUUGUGAAAGCCCCGGGCUCAACCUGGGAACGGCAUCCGGAACUGUCAAGCUAGAGUGCAGGAGAGGAAGGUAGAAUUCCCGGUGUAGCGGUGAAAUGCGUAGAGAUCGGGAGGAAUACCAGUGGCGAAGGCGGCCUUCUGGACUGACACUGACACUGAGGUGCGAAAGCGUGGGGAGCAAACAGGAUUAGAUACCCUUGUAGUC